rnacentral:rRNA from 1 species
AGUGGCGGACGGGUGAGUAACGCGUGAGAAUCUGCCUUGGGGUCGGGGACAACCACUGGAAACGGUGGCUAAUACCGGAUAAGCCUUUUGGUGAAAGAUUUAUUGCCCGAAGAGGAGCUCGCGUCUGAUUAGCUAGUUGGUGAGGUAAGAGCUCACCAAGGCAGCGAUCAGUAGCUGGUCUGAGAGGACGAUCAGCCACACUGGGACUGAGACACGGCCCAGACUCCUACGGGAGGCAGCAGUGGGGAAUUUUCCGCAAUGGGCGAAAGCCUGACGGAGCAAGACCGCGUGAGGGAGGAAGGCUCUUGGGUUGUAAACCUCUUUUCUCAGGGAAGAAGCUCUGACGGUACCUGAGGAAUCAGCCUCGGCUAACUCCGUGCCAGCAGCCGCGGUAAUACGGAGGAGGCAAGCGUUAUCCGGAAUUAUUGGGCGUAAAGCGUUCGCAGGUGGCAAUUCAAGUCUGCUGUCAAAGCACGGGGCUUAACUCCGUUAAGGCAGUGGAAACUGAAUAGCUAGAGUGCCGUAGGGGUAGAGGGAAUUCCCGGUGUAGCGGUGAAAUGCGUAGAGAUCGGGAAGAACAUCGGUGGCGAAAGCGCUCUACUGGACGGCAACUGACACUCAGGGACGAAAGCUAGGGGAGCGAAUGGGAUUAGAUACCCC